rnacentral:rRNA from 1 species
UACGGAGGGUGCGAGCGUUGUCCGGAAUCAUUGGGCGUAAAGGGCGCGUAGGUGGCGGGACAAGCGUGCGGUGAAAGCUCGGGGCUCAACCCCGCGUCGGCCAUGCGAACUGUUUUGCUUGAGCACUGUAGAGGCAGGCGGAAUUCCGGGUGUAGCGGUGGAAUGCGUAGAGAUCCGGAAGAACACCGGUGGCGAAGGCGGCCUGCUGGGCAGUAGCUGACACUGAGGCGCGACAGCGUGGGGAGCAAACAGG